UACGAAGGGUGCAAGCGUUACUCGGAAUUACUGGGCGUAAAGCGUGCGUAGGUGGUUGUUUAAGUCUGCUGUGAAAGCCCUGGGCUCAACCUGGGAAUUGCAGUGGAUACUGGGCGACUAGAGUGUGGUAGAGGAUAGUGGAAUUUCCGGUGUAGCAGUGAAAUGCGUAGAGAUCGGAAGGAACAUCUGUGGCGAAGGCGACUAUCUGGGCCACACUGACACUGAGGCACGAAAGCGUGGGGAGCAAACAGG
rnacentral:rRNA from 1 species